CCUGAAUAAAGGGAUGAGUCUUGGAGCUUCUGGAAGCUGGCCUGGAACUGAGCACUUGCUGCAGACAAUGCCUGAAGUGCAAACCCAAAGCAAUAAGGAAAAAACAGAAAUUUUCACACCAAAGACCCUGUGUUGGGCUCGGAAGAACUGGUGGCUUAACUGAGGAGUCACGGAACACUGCUCUCGGAAACUGUUAGGGCAAUUGAAAAAAAAAAAAAAGAAUAAAGACAAU